UACGGAGGAGGCAAGCGUUAUCCGGAAUUAUUGGGCGUAAAGCGUCCGUAGAUGGUUUUGUCAGUCUGCUGUCAAAGCACAGGGCUUAACCCUGUAAAGGCAGUGGAAACUACAAGACUAGAGUGCAGUAGGGGCAGAGGGAAUUCCCAGUGUAGCGGUGAAAUGCGUAGAGAUUGGGAAGAACACCGGUGGCGAAAGCGCUCUACUGGGCCUGCACUGACACUGAGGGACGAAAGCUAGGGGAGCGAAAGGG
rnacentral:rRNA from 1 species